rnacentral:rRNA from 1 species
AUUGAACGCUGGCGGCAUGCUUUACACAUGCAAGUCGAACGGUAGCGAGGAGAAGCUUGCUUCUCUGUCGGCGAGUGGCGAACGGGUGAGUAUAGCAUCGGAACGUGCCAAGUAGUGGGGGAUAACCAAACGAAAGUUUGGCUAAUACCGCGUAAGCUCUAAGGAGGAAAGUAGGGGACCUAAAUAAGGCCUUACGCUAUUUGAUCGGCCGAUGUCGGAUUAGCUAGUUGGUGGGGUAAUGGCUCACCAAGGCAAUGAUCCGUAGCGGGUCUGAGAGGACGAUCCGCCACACUGGGACUGAGACACGGCCCAGACUCCUACGGGAGGCAGCAGUGGGGAAUUUUGGACAAUGGGGGAAACCCUGAUCCAGCCAUGCCGCGUGUAUGAAGAAGGCCUUAGGGUUGUAAAGUACUUUUGUUAGGGAAGAAAAGCUAGUUUUUAAUAAAAAUUAGUGAUGACGGUACCUAAAGAAUAAGCACCGGCUAACUACGUG